rnacentral:rRNA from 1 species
UACGAAGGGGGCUAGCGUUGCUCGGAAUCACUGGGCGUAAAGGGUGCGUAGGCGGGUCUUUUAAGUCAGGGGUGAAAUCCUGGAGCUCAACUCCAGAACUGCCUUUGAUACUGAAGAUCUUGAGUUCGGGAGAGGUGAGUGGAACUGCGAGUGUAGAGGUGAAAUUCGUAGAUAUUCGCAAGAACACCAGUGGCGAAGGCGGACUCACUGGCCCCGAUACUGACGCUGAGGCACGAA